CACAAUAGGUGGGCUCCUCAAGGGUGGUCGGUUCAUCCCCGAUAUCGGAAAGGGGGUGAUACCAUGACAGUAUUCGAAGCACUAAGUCUAAUGUUGGCGUUUGGGACUUUAGUCUUAAUGCUGUCGUCUAGUAAAAAGAAGUAGACCUCCCUUGAGCUGAACAGCCAGGGGGUCUACACCCAGGAAUGCAGAGCCGCCCCCCUUUUGGGGAACGUCUAUUGUACUUUCGACCGUAGGGUGUUGCCCCACCCGGCG
rnacentral:sRNA from 1 species